rnacentral:rRNA from 1 species
UUUGCCAAGAAUGUUUCCGUUAAUCAAGAACGAAAGUUAGAGRUUCGAAGGCGAUCAGAUACCGCCCUAGUUCUAACCAUAAACGAUGCCAGCCAGCGAUCCGCCGAAGUUCCUCCGAUGACUCGGCGGGCAGCUUCCGGGAAACCAAAGCUUUUGGGUUCCGGGGGAAGUAUGGUUGCAAAGCUGAAACUUAAAGGAAUUGACGGAAGGGCACCACCAGGAGUGGAGCCUGCGGCUUAAUUUGACUCAACACGGGAAACCUCACCAGGCCCGGACACCGGAAGGAUUGACAGAUUGAGAGCUCUUUCUUGAUUCGGUGGGUGGUGGUGCAUGGCCGUUCUUAGUUGGUGGAGCGAUUUGUCUGGUUAAUUCCGGUAACGAACGAGACUCUAGCCUGCUAAAUAGACGAUUUCCGGUAUCCACAAUAGUGCUACCGGCGAAAUCAAUAUCUUCUUAGAGGGACAGGCGGCUUUCAGCCGCACGAAACUGAGCAAUAACAGGUCUGUGAUGCCCUUAGAUGUCCUGGGCCGCACGCGCGCUACACUGAAGGAAUCAGCGUGUACACCCUGGCCGAAAGGCUCGGGCAACCCGUUGAACCUCCUUCGUGCUAGGGAUUGGGGCUUGCAAUUGUUCCCCAUGAACGAGGAAUUCCCAGUAAGCGCGAGUCAUAAGCUCGCGUUGAUUACGUCCCUGCCCUUUGUACACACCGCCCGUCGCUACUACCGAUUGAAUGAUUUAGUGAGGUCUUCGGACUGGUGCGCGGCGGCCGCCUGCGCGGCCGCCGAUGUCACCGGGAAGAUGACC